UAAUACGUAGGGUCCGAGCGUUGUCCGGAAUUAUUGGGCGUAAAGAGCUCGUAGGCGGCCUGUCGCGUCUGCUGUGAAAGUCCGGGGCUUAACUCCGGGUGUGCAGUGGAUACGGGCAGGCUUGAGGUAGGUAGGGGAGACUGGAAUUCCUGGUGUAGCGGUGAAAUGCGCAGAUAUCAGGAGGAACACCGGUGGCGAAGGCGGGUCUCUGGGCCUUACCUGACGCUGAGGAGCGAAAGCGUGGGGAGCGAACAGG
rnacentral:rRNA from 1 species